rnacentral:rRNA from 1 species
AUACGGAGGGUGCGAGCGUUAAUCGGAAUUACUGGGCGUAAAGCGUACGUAGGCGGUUGGUUAAGUUAGCUGUGAAAGCCCCGGGCUUAACCUGGGAACUGCAUUUAAAACUGGCGAACUAGAGUUGAGUAGAGGGGAGUGGAAUUUCAGGUGUAGCGGUGAAAUGCGUAGAGAUCUGAAGGAACACCAGUGGCGAAGGCGACUCCCUGGACUCGAACUGACGCUGAGGUACGAAAGCGUGGGUAGCAAACGGGAUUAGAAACCCCUGUAGUCC